UACGUAGGGGGCGAGCGUUGUCCGGAUUUAUUGGGCGUAAAGAGCUCGUAGGCGGUUUGGUAAGUCGGGUGUGAAAUCUCCACGCUCAACGUGGAGGGGCCACUCGAUACUGCCAUGACUCGAGUCCGGUCAGAGGAGUGUGGAAUUCCCGGUGUAGCGGUGAAAUGCGCAGAGUAUCGGGAGGAACACCCGUAGCGAAGGCGGCAC
rnacentral:rRNA from 1 species